CAAGUUUUUAAAUCUUUCUGCCCCGCCUUUUACUUUCAGUUCUCACUAUAAAUCUGGCCAAAAACAGCUACCCAUGCCACAGCCUGAGUAUUGUGCUGCUUUGAAAUUUCCUCUGCCAGAUAAACUAGCCCAUCACCUUCUAAUUCAGCCUCACAGUCAGUCUUCAGACAUGGUUAAAAUGUAGACAGUUCUUUGCUGCAAUGUAACAUGAAUGACCUCUCAUCCAGUUCCCAAGAGAGUCCUCAUUUCCAUCAGAAACCUCAUGAACACAAACUUUACCAUUCACAUUUCUAUCAGCAUUCUGGUCUUCUGACUUCCACCAAAAUUUCUCAUCCAGCUCUGCUUACAGCAUUCUGGGGCUUCUCUAGCCCCACAUCUCCAAACCUUUCCAAACUUCUUCCAUAAACCAGUUCCAAAGGCUUCUGAACCAUGUGGUCAGGUAUAGUUCACCCUGAUGUCCCCACUUCUCAGUGCUAAUUUUAUACGUUGGUCAGCUUUCUAACACUGUGACCAAAUACCUGAGAAACUUAGAGGAGGAAAUAUGUAUUUUGGCUCAUGAUUUUGGGGAUUUCAGUCCAUGGUUGGCUCCAAGGCAGAAACAUCAUGGUGGAACGGCAUGGCAGAAGGGCGUGGUGGAGGAAAACCAUUUACCUCCUGGCAGCUGGGAACCAGAAUAUGGGAGGAAAAGCCAGAGAGAAAGGGGCCGGGGACAAGAAUGUACCCUCCCAGGUCACGUCCCCGGUGACCUACUUACUCCAGCCAGCUCCAUCUGCUAACAGCACUUUCAGCUCUGAACUGGUGAAUGAUUAACCCACGAUGAGCCACAGAUGAGGGAAAUGUGGGUGUCUUCAGCAAGAACUUCCACUUGAGAUUGUGCCUGUGAGGGUGUUUCCAGAGACAAUUGGCAUGUGGCACAGAAAACUGAGGAGGGAACCACCCCUGAAUUUGGGCAGCACCACUCAAUAGGCCCGGGCCCCAGAUGGAACAGAAGAGGAAGGAGGAAGCCUAUCUGCACAUGCUCUUUACCUCCCUCUCUGCCUCCCAGCUGCCUUGAGGUAAGCAGCUUUCCUCUGCCACGCCCUUUCACCGUGAUGCUUCUGACUCACCACAGGCCUAAAAACAAUGGAUCUAGCUUACCAUGGACUGACAUCUCUGAAACCAUGAGCCAAAAUAAACCUGCUUCCUUUAAGUUCAUUUUCUCAGGUAUUCUGUAACAGCAACAGAAGCUGAGUAACACAAUAUGAUCUGUUUUCCAAAUCAUCACACAUAAUGUUUGCAGUAAAUAUUUUCUCCCAGCACAAGAGUCACCAGCUUUCUGUCCUCCAGUAUCUGUUUCUCUAGCUCACCCUCAGUGAGGCGCUAUAACCAUGGCAGUUUCGCACUCCUGGGACCAAUUUCAGUAUUAGAGUUUUGCUAAGCUGCUGUUACAAGGAACUCCAAAGUACAGUGGGUUUUAAAUUAUGGAAACUAAGGCCCAGGGAUGUAGCUUAGCAGCACUGCCUGGCAAGUGCAAGGUCCUGAGUUCAAUCCCCAGUACUGGAAAAAGCAAAAAACAAAAGACUAUGGAAAUGGAAUCGUCUCUCGUCAAUAUAAAAUUCGGAUGUAUUUCAGGCUUCAUCCAGGUGGGCAGUGGGUUUUGAUAGACACCUAGCAGAUGCCACAGAGGACCCCUCCCCAGCCUUCUCUCCCCUGAAAUGUCCCCCAUUAGUCAGUCUAACACCUGCUCAAGCACAGACACAGAAAUCAGCCUUGAAUCUUUCCCCAGCCUCAUGCUUUACUUUCAGGCAGACCCCAAAUCUGGCCUUUCCUUGUAUCUCCAUGGCCGCCACCCUAUUGUCUCCAGAAUCCUGAAUCUGACCCAGGUGCUCUUGUUUGUGUCUUUACAGCCUGACCCUAUCCCACUAGAAUGCCCCUUUCAGGAGGAGGGGACUUUCUCUUCCUCCUCCACUCCCAUUUCCUUCCUGAGCCAGUUCACAGUGGCUUUUGCACAAACCUUUGUUGAAUGGAUUCGCAGGGAAUGGAGACCACAUCCCGUGAUUUCCUUCACAGCCCGUGGCCCUGUGGGCUGUGGUCAAGGC
rnacentral:lncRNA from 1 species